GCCGGGUGUGGUGGCGGGCACUUGUAGUCCCAGCUACCUGGGAGGCUGAGGCAGGAGAAUUGCUUGAACCCAGGAGGUGGAGGUUGCAGUGAGCCGAGAUCACACCACUGCACUCCAGCCUGGGCAACAGAGCAAGAUUCUGUCUCAA
rnacentral:SRP_RNA from 1 species